GACGAACGCUGGCGGCGUGCUUAACACAUGCAAGUCGAACGGAAAGGCCCUUCGGGGUACUCGAGUGGCGAACGGGUGAGUAACACGUGGGUGAUCUGCCCUGCACUUUGGGAUAAGCCUGGGAAACUGGGUCUAAUACCGAAUAGGACCACGCGCUUCAUGGUGUGUGGUGGCAAGCUUUUGCGGUGUGGGAUGGGCCCGCGGCCUAUCAGCUUGUUGGUGGGUAAUGGCCUACCAAGGCGACGACGGGUCGCCGGCCUGAGAGGGUGACCGGCCACACUGGGACUGAGAUACGGCCCAGACUCCUACGGGAGGCAGCAGUGGGGAAUAUUGCACAAUGGGCGCAAGCCUGAUGCAGCGACGCCGCGUGAGGGAUGACGGCCUUCGGGUUGUAAACCUCUUUCACCAGGGACGAAGCGUAAGUGACGGUACCUGGAGAAGAAGCACCGGCCAACUACGUG
rnacentral:rRNA from 1 species